UAUUCCUUCUCUCGCUCGCUGUCGAGUUCUUGGGGGAGGAAACUCCAACUAGAUCUUGAAGAGGAGGAGAGAGCCGAAGGGAGUCGAUCGAUCGGAUGAAGCGAGGACGUUACCCACCGCCAUCGAAGGGUUCCUCCGCCGAAGCUGAAGAAGACAAUUGUCUACAUUCCACCAGUUGAAGCCUCAAGAAUCAAAAUCAAGACACUCCUAUUACAAUCAGUACCAACCGUACGCUGGUUCAUUCAAAGUCAUGCAAAAUCUUAAAUGACAAAGUUAUCAGUGUAUAUAAUUGUUCUUACUUUGUUUUUCUUAAAAUUAAUUCAAUGUUGGAAAGCAUUUUCUACGUUUUCAGUUUUCUGGCUUUUGUAUUUUAAAGACUUGGAGAAAUGGCAUACACUUCGAAGAAGAAGGUAAACAUUUUUAUAAAGACAAAUUUCUCAUGCAGGGUGGCAUAA